rnacentral:rRNA from 1 species
AACGAACGCUGGCGGCAGGCCUAACACAUGCAAGUCGAACGCCCCGCAAGGGGAGUGGCAGACGGGUGAGUAACGCGUGGGAACCCACCUCUUGGUGCGGAAUAACUUCGGGAAACCAGUGCUAAUACCGCAUACGCCCUCCGGGGGAAAGAUUUAUCGCCGAGAGAUGGGCCCGCGUCGGAUUAGAUAGUUGGUGAGGUAAAGGCUCACCAAGGCGACGAUCCGUAGCUGGUCUGAGAGGAUGAUCAGCCACACUGGGACUGAGACACGGCCCAGACUCCUACGGGAGGCAGCAGUGGGGAAUAUUGGACAAUGGGCGCAAGCCUGAUCCAGCCAUGCCGCGUGAGUGAAGAAGGCCUUAGGGUUGUAAAGCUCUUUCGACGGGGAAGAUAAUGACGGUACCCGUAGAAGAAGCCCCGGCUAACUUCGUGCCAGCCGCCGCGGUAA